rnacentral:lncRNA from 1 species
GGCUUAACCCCAAUUAUGCCGUGGACACCCUCGAAUGGGGAGACUUUGACAUAACCAAAGAUUAAGUACUUAACCACAAGACAACGACGAUGCCUCAGGUCUAAGGAUUACUUACAUCUUUCCAACCAUUAGAGUUACUUGCUUGACAUGUGAGUAGACCUCCAUGCAAGUACCCUCGUUCGAUUGUGUUCAGUGAACUCAUUCCCCUAAUGAGCACCUACAUACUUGUCUUAGUGUCACAACACGAAUGGGAUGAGACUUUCCAUCCUUCCAAUUGAAGCAGACACAAUGUGUACCGGUCUACGCAUGGUCAGUAUCCCUCCGACAAUCCAACGACCAGGAACCUUUUUGGACAUUUGGUUAUGUGAAGAAGGUCUCUGUAGUCUAACAUCAUUAGAUUACUUCUUCAAUCGAUCCACUGUCCAUGGAUACACUAUUUAGGACAUAUAUCGUUUAUUGAGAUAGUCCUAAUUCGUGUCUUUGCCAUUUGAUGUAUAAGAAUCAUCCAUACAUCGAUUCAUUUGUCCUGAAAGGUUUCUUCCAAAGAUUGACUUUCAGGGCAUAUUUCCAAC